UAGCUAGUUGGUGAGGUAAGGGCUCACCAAGGCGACGAUCCCUAGCUGGUCUGAGAGGAUGAUCAGCCACACUGGAACUGAGACACGGUCCAGACUCCUACGGGAGGCAGCAGUGGGGAAUAUUGCACAAUGGGCGCAAGCCUGAUGCAGCCAUGCCGCGUGUGUGAAGAAGGCCUUCGGGUUGUAAAGCACUUUCAGUCGUGAGGAAGGUGGUAGUGUUAAUAGCACUAUCAUUUGACGUUAGCGACAGAAGAAGCACCGGCUAACUCCGUGCCAGCAGCCGCGGUAAUACGGAGGGUGCGAGCGUUAAUCGGAAUUACUGGGCGUAAAGCGCAUGCAGGUGGUUUGUUAAGUCAGAUGUGAAAGCCCGGGGCUCAACCUCGGAAUUGCAUUUGAAACUGGCAGACUAGAGUACUGUAGAGGGGGGUAGAAUUUCAGGUGUAGCGGUGAAAUGCGUAGAGAUCUGAAGGAAUACCGGUGGCGAAGGCGGCCCCCUGGACAGAUACUGACACUCAGAUGCGAAAGCGUGGGGAGCAAACAGGAUUAGAUACCCUGGUAGUCCACGCCGUAAACGAUGUCUACUUGGAGGUUGUGGCCUUGAGCCGUGGCUUUCGGAGCUAACGCGUUAAGUAGACCGCCUGGGGAGUACGGUCGCAAGAUUAAAACUCAAAUGAAUUGACGGGGGCCCGCACAAGCGGUGGAGCAUGUGGUUUAAUUCGAUGCAACGCGAAGAACCUUACCUACUCUUGACAUCCAGAGAACUUUCCAGAGAUGGAUUGGUGCCUUCGGGAACUCUGAGACAGGUGCUGCAUGGCUGUCGUCAGCUCGUGUUGUGAAAUGUUGGGUUAAGUCCCGCAACGAGCGCAACCCUUAUCCUUGUUUGCCAGCGAGUAAUGUCGGGAACUCCAGGGAGACUGCCGGUGAUAAACCGGAGGAAGGUGGGGACGACGUCAAGUCAUCAUGGCCCUUACGAGUAGGGCUACACACGUGCUACAAUGGCGCAUACAGAGGGCAGCCAACUUGCGAAAGUGAGCGAAUCCCAAAAAGUGCGUCGUAGUCCGGAUUGGAGUCUGCAACUCGACUCCAUGAAGUCGGAAUCGCUAGUAAUCGUGGAUCAGAAUGCCACGGUGAAUACGUUCCCGGGCCUUGUACACACCGCCCGUCACACCAUGGGAGUGGGCUGCAAAAGAAGUAGGUAGUUUAACCUUCGGGGGGACGCUUACCACUUUGUGGUUCAUGACUGGGGUGAAGUCGUAACAAGGUAGCGCUAGGGGAACCUGGCGCUGGAUCACCUCCUUA
rnacentral:rRNA from 1 species